GCCUGCACGAAGUCGGAAUUGCUAGUAAUCGUAGGUCAGCAUACUACGGUGAAUACGUUCCCGGGCCUUGUACACACCGCCCGUCAAACCAUGAGAGUUGGCAACACCCGAAGUCGGUAGUCUAACCGCAAGGAGGACGCCGCCGAAGGUGGGGUUNAUGAUUAGGGUUAAGUCGUAACAAGGUAAC
rnacentral:rRNA from 1 species